rnacentral:lncRNA from 1 species
CUUGACUUUAUAUUGCGAUUGGCAACUUUCAUAAAUUAGGUGCAUUACCACCACUGACCUUGUUCGUCUUUCACUCACCCACGUGGGUUUAACCAAUGAGGAGAUGGCACAUGGGUACCUGCUUCUAUAAACCAAUGAGGAGAUUGGAGAGGCAGGACUUGCAGCGUGAUCUGCGUCACAAAUAGGACUGACUUCUAUUUUAGCCCUUGGCAACACAGACGCUCGUUGGCAUGCGCGAGCAGUGUGGGUGCAAUAAUUGAAUAAUAUAGAUUUCUAAAUGUAUUUUGCUACGGUCAGCCUGUAAGGCACUGCAUCGCAGUGCUAGCUGUGCCACUAGAGAUUCUGGGUUAGAGUCCUGGCUCUGUCGCAGCCGGCCGCGACCGGCAGACCCAUGGGGCGGCACACAAUUGGCCCAGCGUCGUCCGGGUUAGGGGAGGGUUUGGCCGGCAGGGAUGUCCCAUCGCGCACUAGCGACUCCUGUUUUGGGCGCGCUGAAUUUUAAAAAACUAAUUAAAAAAAAAAAUAACUGUUGAAGUCUCGGGGAAGCAGCUCGCUGAAACAACUCUCAGAGAACCUCUAGGUGGGUCUUUACACGUAUACACGUCAGCAGCCCUGUCUUUCUCUACCAUCAGCUAUACUCAUGGUACUGUCACUUCCUGUCUCUCCCUACCAUCAGCUAUACACACGGUACUGUCUCUUCCUGUCUCUCCCUACCAUCAGCUAUACUCACAGUACUGUCUCUUCCUGUCUCUCACUACCAUCAGCUAUACUCAUGGUACUGUCUACCUGUCUCUCCCUACCAUCAGCUAUACUCAUGGUACUGUCUCUACCUGUCUCUCCCUACCAUCAGCUAUACUCAUGGUACUGUCUCUACCUGUCUCUCCCUACCAUCAGCUAUACACACGGUACUGUCUCUUCCUGUCUCUCCCUACCAUCAGCUAUACUCACAGUACUGUCUCUUCCCGUCUCUCCCUACCAUCAGCUAUACACACGGUACUUUCUCUUCCUGUCUCUCCCUAGCAUCAGCUAUACUCAUGGUACUGUCUCUUCCUGUCUCUCCCUACCAUCAGCUAUACUCACAGUACUGUCUCUUCCUGUCUCUCCCUACCAUCAGCUAUACUCAUGGUACUGUCUCUACCUGUCUCUUCCUACCAUCAGCUAUACUCAUGGUACUGUCUCUUCCUGUCUCUCCCUACCAUCAGCUAUACUCAUGGUACUGUCUCUACCAUCAGCUAUACUCACGGUACUGUCUCUUCCUGUCUCUCCCUACCAUCAGCUAUACUCACAGUGCUGUCUCUUCCUGUCUCUCUCUACCAUCAGCUAUACUCACGGUACUCUCUUCCUGUCUCUCCCUACCAUCAGCUAUACCCAUGGUACUGUCUCUUACUACCAUCAGCUAUACUCACGGUUCUGUCUCUUCCUGUCUCUCUCUUCCAUCAGCUAUACUCAUGGUACUGUCUCUUCCUGUCUCUCUCUUCCAUCAGCUAUACUCACGGUUCUGUCUCUUCCUGUCUCUCUCUUCCAUCAGCUAUACUCAUGGUACUGCCUCUUCCUGUCUCUCUAUACCAUCAGCUAUACUCAUGGUACUGCCUCUUCCUGUCUCUCUAUACCAUCAGCUAUACUCAUGGUACUGUCUCUACCAUCAGCUAUACUCAUGGUACUGUCUCUACCUGUCUCUGCAGAGUUUGUACUGUGUCAAUUUAAAAACAAGGCAGCCAUCUUGAUCUGACUAAAUACAUGGGAUACAAUACAACAUGUUUCCAAGUGGACAAGUAUUGUCAGAGAAUAUAUCUAAACCUGGCUGGUAGAAAGACGAUAUUCAAAACUAAACAUGACCACAUCAGCAGGAUUCCCAACAUUCAACUACUUGUCUGAGUCAAGUGGUCUGAUCUCUUGCCUAGUUAAAUAAAGGUUAAAUAAAACAUCUCUCUCUCGCUCUCUACAAAGUUUGAGGGCCCUGGUGUGAGGAAGCUGUCACCCUGCUUGACAGAACCUGACAUUUCCAAAGGUCUGUGAGGAGGAUCGUUUGUGACAGCUUCAAAUUACAGUGUGGGAGAAAGGGAAGGAUGGAGGGACUAUAAAUGUCACUUCCAGGAGGUGAGGGGGAAGGAUGGAGGGACUAUAAAUGUUACUUCCAGGAGGUGAGGGGGAGGUAUGGAGGGACUAUAAAUGUUACUUCCAGGAGGUGAGGGAGAGGGAUGGAGGGACUAUAAAUGUCACUUCCAGGAGGUGAGGGGGAGGAUGGAGGGACUAUAAAUGUUACUUCCAGGAGGUGAGGGGGAGGGAUGGAGGGACUAUAAAUGUCACUUCCAGGAGGUGUGGGGGAAGGAUGGAGGGACUAUAAAUGUCACUUCCAGGAGGUGAGGUGGAAGGAUGGAGGGACUAUAAAUGUUACUUCCAGGAGGUGAGGGGGAGGGAUGGAGGGACUAUAAAUGUCACUUCCAGGAGGUGAGGGGGAGGGAUUAUAUAUUGUGCCUCUAAAAAAAAAAAAGACGUUACAUGGGCAUUUCUCACAAUGGAAAAAUAUUUCCUGCCUGAGCCCUCUCUCUCUUUGUCUCUCUCUCUCUCUCUCUCUCUCUCUCUGCCCUCUCUCUCUCUCUCUGCCCUCUCUCUCUCUGCCCUGCCCUCUCUCUCUCUCUGCCCCCUCUCCCUCUGCCCUCUCUCUCUGCCCUCUCUCUCUGCCCUCUCUCUCUGCCCUCUCUCUCUGCCCUCUCUCUCUGUCCUCUCUCUCUGUCCUCUCUCUCUGUCCUCUCUCUCUGUCCUCUCUCUCUGUCCUCUCUCUCUGUCCUCUCUCUCUGUCCACCUCUACAUUAUUACAGCUGUUUACAGCCCCUCUCUCUGUCUUCAAGAGAGAGAAUACAUUAUUACAGCUGUUUACAGCCCCUCUCUGUCUUCAAGAGAGAGAGAACCUUAUUGCAGCUGUUUACAGCCUCUCUCUCUGUCUUCAAGAGAGAGAAUACCUUAUUACAGCUGUUUACAGCCCCUCUCUCUGUCUUCC